CCUACGGGAGGCAGCAGCAAGGGAUAUUGCGCAAUGGACGAAAGUCUGACGCAGCGACGCCGCGUGAGGGAUGAAGGCCUUCGGGUCGUAAACCUCUUUUAUUGGUGAAGAGCAAGGACGGUAACCAAUGAAUAAGCCUCGGCUAACUACGUGCCAGCAGCCGCGGUAAUACGUAGGAGGCGAGCGUUAUCCGGAUUUACUGGGCGUAAAGCGCGUGUAGGCGGCUUUCUAAGUUGGCAGUGAAAGGUCCCGGCUCAACUGGGAUUUGCCUGUCAAUACUGGAGAGCUUGAGGGCACCAGAGGAAAGUGGAACUCGCGGUGUAGCGGUGAAAUGUGUAGAUAUCGCGAGGAACACCAGUGGCGAAGGCGGCUUUCUGGGGUGUUCCUGACGCUGAGGCGCGAAAGCGUGGGGAGCGAAGCGGAUUAGAUACCCGCGUAGUCCACGCCCUAAACGGUGGAUACUUGGUAUGGGGGGUAUCGACCCCCUCCGUGCCGAAGCUAACGCUUUAAGUAUCCCGCCUGGGAACUACGGUCGCAAGACUAAAACUCAAAGGAAUUGACGG
rnacentral:rRNA from 1 species